rnacentral:rRNA from 1 species
UACGUAGGGUGCAAGCGUUGUCCGGAAUUAUUGGGCGUAAAGAGCUCGUAGGCGGUUUGUCGCGUCUGCUGUGAAAACCUAAGGCUCAACCUUGGGCUUGCAGUGGGUACGGGCAGACUAGAGUGCGGUAGGGGUGACUGGAAUUCCUGGUGUAGCGGUGAAAUGCGCAGAUAUCAGGAGGAACACCGGUGGCGAAGGCGGGUCUCUGGGCCGAUACUGACGCUGAGGAGCGAAAGCGUGGGGAGCGAACAGG